CAAAGGUUUGGUCCUGACUUUACUAUCAACUUUAGCCAAAUUUACACAUGCAAGUAUCCGCACCCCUGUGAGAAUGCCCCACAGUCCCCCGCCCGGGAACAAGGAGCUGGUAUCAGGCACACCCACUUAGUGUAGCCCAAGACACCUUGCUUAGCCACACCCUCAAGGGAAUUCAGCAGUGAUAAACAUUAAGCCAUGAGUGAAAACUUGACUUAGUUAAAGCUAAGAGGGCCGGUAAAACUCGUGCCAGCCACCGCGGUUAUACGAGAGGCCCAAGUUGUUAGUUAUCGGCGUAAAGCGUGGUUAAAAUCAACUUAUACUAAAGCCGAACACUUCCAAAGCUGUUAUACGCAUCCGAAAGUAAGAAGAUCAAUUACGAAAGUAGCUUUAUCCAUUUGAACCCACGAAAGCUACGGCACAAACUGGGAUUAGAUACCCCACUAUGCCUAGCCGUAAACAUUGACAGUAAAUUACAUCCACUGUCCGCCCGGGUACUACGAGCAUCAGCUUAAAACCCAAAGGACUUGGCGGUGCUUUAGAUCCACCUAGAGGAGCCUGUUCUAGAACCGAUAACCCCCGUUCAACCUCACCCUUCCUUGUUUCUCCCGCCUAUAUACCACCGUCGUCAGCUUACCCUGUGAAGGCCCCAUAGUAAGCAAGAUUGGCACAGCCCAAAACGUCAGGUCGAGGUGUAGCGUAUGGAAGGGGAAGAAAUGGGCUACAUUCACUCACCCAGUGAAAUACGAACGAUGUACUGAAAUAUACAUCUGAAGGAGGAUUUAGCA
rnacentral:rRNA from 1 species